rnacentral:rRNA from 1 species
AGGACGAACGCUGGCGGCGUGCUUAACACAUGCAAGUGGAGCGACGAACCAGGGCUUGCCCUGGGGCAGAGCCGCGAACGGGUGAGUAACACGUGGGUAACGUGCCCCGAUGACUGGGACAACCCGGGGAAACCCGGGCUAAUACCGGAUAUGCCCCCUCACGCGAGUGAGGUGUGUAAAGGAAGCUUCGGCCUCCGCAUCGGGAUCGGCCCGCGGCCCAUUAGCUUGUUGGUGGGGUAACGGCUCACCAAGGCUGCGAUGGGUAGCUGGUCUGAGAGGACGAUCAGCCACACUGGGACUGAGACACGGCCCAGACUCCUACGGGAGGCAGCAGUGGGGAAUCUUGCGCAAAUGCGCGAAAAGCGUGACGCAGCAAACGCCGCGUGGGGGAAGAAAGGCCUCGGUGCGAAACCCUUCCACGUUGGGUACGGAAGGUA